CUGGAUCCCUCCAUGGAUCCUUCCCUGGAUCCUUUCUUGGGUCCUUCCCUGGAUUCCUCCAUGGAUCCUCCAUGGAUCCAUCCCUGAAUCCUUCCCUGGGUCCUUCAUGGAUCCUUCCCUGAAACAUUUCCUGAAUCCUCUCCUGCGUCCUUCCCUCGGUCCUUCCCUGGGUCCUUCCCUGAAUCCUUCCCCAGAUCCCUCCCGAUUCCUCCAUGGAUCCUUCCCCGAUCCCUCCGUGGAUCCCUCCAUGGAUCCUUCCCGGGAUCCCUCCAUGGAUCCCUCCCUGAUCCCUCCCCGGAUCCCUCCCCGGAUCCCUCCCCGAUCCCUCCCCGAUCCCUCCCUGGAUCCCUCCAUGGAUCCCUCCCCGCUCCCUCCCCUCUCCCUCCCCGAUCCCUCCCCGCUCCCUCCCCUAUCCCUCCCCGCUCCCUCCCCUCUCCCUCGCCGUCUCCCCGGCCGUGCCUCAGUUUCCCCGCGGUGCCAGGAGGCGCUGGCGGAGCUGCGGACGCGGCUGCAGCUGGCGCAGAAGGAGAAGCGAGCCCUGGAGCUGCUGCUGGCCGCGCACGGGCCCCGCGAGGCCGCGCUGCGCCUCCUGCUGCGGGAGCGGCACCGGGAGCGGCACCGGGAGCGGCACCGGGAGCGGGACGGGCGGGACGGAGCCUCCGGCAGCAGCUCCGGCAGCAGCUCCGGCAGCAGCUCCGGCAGCAGCUCCGAGGAGGAGGCGCGGAUGGGGCGGGGGGCAGCGAUGGCCCCGGGGAACCCCCCGGACCCCCAGAGAACGUGGGAGGAGCUGCUCCGGAUCCGGGCCAGGACGGAGCAGCUGCGCGGCCGUGCCCGGGAGCUGGCGCUGGCCCUGGAGCGGGGCAGCGCUGCCAGCCGUGCCCAGCAGGGGCACAGUGCCACCGUCACCUCCGAGCUCCUCCAGGCGCACAGGUGGGCACGGGGACAGGGUCCCCUGGGUGUCUUGGGUGUCUCUGGGUCCCCUGGGUGUCCUGAGGGUCCUGGGUGUCCUGGGGGUCCUGAGUGUCCCUGUGUCCCCUGGGUGUUCAGCGGGUCCUGGGGGUCCUGAGUGUCCUGGGUGUCCUGAGGAUCCCUGUGUCCCCUGGGUGUUCAGCGGGUCCUGAGGGUCCUGGGUGUCCUGAGGGUCCUGUGUCCCCUGGGUGUCCUGGGUGUCCCCUGGGUGUCCUGAGGGUCCUGGGUGUCCUGGGUGUCCUGAGGGUCCUGUGUCCCCUGGGUGUCCUGGGGGUCCUGAGUGUCCCUGGGUGUCCUGUGUCCCCUGGGUGUCCUGGGUGUCCCCUGGGUGUCCUGAGGGUCCUGGGUGUCCUGAGGGUCCUGUGCCCCCUGGGUGUCCUGGGUCCCCUGAGUGUCCUGGGGGACCUGCAUGUCCUUGUGUCCCCUGGGUGUCCUGCGUGUCCCUGAGUCCCCUGGGUGUCCUGGGUCCUCUGUGUCGCCUGGGUGUCCUGGGGGACCUUAGUGUCCCUGGGUCCCCUGGGUGUCCUGAGUGUCCCCUGACUCCCUAAACCCCAAAACCCCCAGCUCCCCCGAAUCCUCCGGACCCCCCUACUCCCUAAAUCCCCAAAAUCCCAAACCCCAAAACCCCCAGCUCCCCCUCACCCUCCCAGCUCCCCCAACUCCCUGACUCCCUAAACCCCCAAACCCCCCGAACC